rnacentral:rRNA from 1 species
UCCAUCUAAAGCUAAAUAUAACCACGAGCCCGAUAGUCAACAAGUACAGUGAUGGAAAGUUGAAAAGUACUCUGAAGAGAGAGUCAAAUAGCCCGUGAAGCUGCCAGUAUGGGAUUAAGCGCACGUAUGACGCGUGUCGUCGGCCAAAUAGGCGACUGUUGGGUGUGCACACUGCGUGUGACUGUUGGCGGGCGUCUACGCUCGUCGGCUGACGCGUGGUGUUUGGCGUGCCUCGGCAGAACGCUUCCCUUUGGUCGACAUGGACAGGUCGAGGCUUCGUUGUCCAUGGUCUUAUUGCCGGCCGGUAAUUCGCAGAGCCGUGUCGAGCUGUGGUAAUCAGCGGCCUCACGGUCGUGCCGCGGUGCUCCGUCGACUAUGCGCUCUACUGUAGCGACGACGGUCGGCUUGGUCUACGAUGCAAUAUGCCGGCCGAUGGCGAACGACCGGGCGACGGCCAGCGCAAAUUCGAAGCGUCUAACGUUUCGGCUCGGCCUUUGCGUCGUUAUGUGCGGCCCGUCUUGAAACACGGACCAAGGAGUCUAACAUGUGAGCGAGCGAUUGAGAUUGUCUAAUCUCAAACGCGCAAUGAAAGUAAAGUGU